GCGGCACGGGACGGCAGGGCCCAAGGGCUGCGGACGGCGGCCUAGGAGGCCAGCAGAGUACUUAAGAUUUCACGCAUUUUUGCUGAACUUGUUUUAAAAAAAAAAGCGCUUGGGAUGAUGGAUUAACAAGAACAUUGAAAUUCUGUGAAAAGUUUCAAAUUGGAGCAUAUUGAGUUUUCACCCUAGUCCAGCAGCUGUGCUUCUCACUUAAAUACAGAUGAAUGAAGACCCCAUUCGGAAAGACACCUGGCCAGCGGUCCAGAGCUGAUGCAGGCCAUGCUGGUGUAUCUGCAAGCAUGAUGAAGAAAAGGACAUCCCACAGCAACAUCUCGAAUCAGUGAUGCACACCUAGCCGACACAAUGAUUGGCAAAGCAGUGGAGCACAUGUUUGAGACAGAGGACGGCUCUAAAGACGAGUGGAGGGGAAUGGUCUUAGCACGCGCCCCUAUCAUGAACACAUGGUUUUACAUCACCUAUGGGAAAGAUCCUGUCUUAUACAUGUACCAGCUCUUAGAUGAUUAUAAAGAAGGCGACCUUCGCAUUAUGCCCGAUUCUAAUGAUUCACCUCCAGCAGAAAGGGAACCGGGAGAAGUUGUGGACAGCCUGGUGGGCAAACAAGAGGAAUAUGCCAAAGAAGAUGGCUCUAAAAGGACUGGCAUGGUCAUUCAUCAAGUAGAAGCCAAACCGUCUGUCUAUUUCAUCAAGUUUGAUGAUGAUUUCCAUAUUUAUGUCUACGAUUUGGUGAAAACAUCCUAGAUGUCAUCACGAACUUUACCAAUUGUGGAACUAUUAAAUGUAUAAUUUGUAGACAUAAAGACUUGAUUGCUUUCCAGUUUAAUGAAAGCUUAAAUGUCCCUGCGAACCCACAAUCUCUGCCAGCAGAACUGGUUUUGUUCUGAAUCGUACAGAUUUAUGUGAACACAAAUCAUUUUGUGUGAGGAACUCCUUCCUCUUAAAAGAAGUCUGUCUGUUUGGAAGGGAGUUACAGGCAAGUCUGGUAAAAGUUAAGCUAGUAUCAUGUCAUUUAAAACUGUAAUAGAUCUUACCCACUUUCCCCUUCACUCUUGACACACUCUGCUGCCACAAUGCAAGCAUAGUUUGGUUGCAUUUUUGUUACUGCUUUUUUUUUUUUAAAGAUAUAUAUGUAUGCAUAUCUAUCUACCUAUCUAUACCUGUGUGUAUACAUAUAUAAUAUAUAUAUACACACACACAGAUCUGUGUACACACACACACACACACACACACACACUUCAUUGGCAGUUCUUUCUUUGUGGAUUGAGGUAGGAGUUAAAUAAUUUUCUCCAGUUUAACAGGAGUGCUUGACUUUAUAUCACUGCUGUUUAUUUAAAAAUUAAAACUGGGCACAGGAAGAACAUGGGGACAUUCAGCUUGUGUUGAAAGUCAGAAGUUCAGAGCACCAUUUCAAUCCAGAGGCUUUAAACUGUAAAUUCAAACAUGAAUCACUUGUGGAUGUUUAAUGACCCACAUUAGAAUUUACAAAACAAUUAGAAAUCUAGGUAAAGGCUGCCUUUUAAUUCUAAGCUUUGUACAUUUUUUGUUUACAUAUUUUUUUUUUAAUCUUAAAUACCUUUUUAAAGCAAAGUCCAGGUACUUGGUCCACAUUGUGUAAUACAGGUGUAUUUUGGAUGAUGCAUUUGGUCCACUAUUUGUACAAAUUAGUAGUCUGGGUUUUAGUACAUGGAUUUAAAAGGCAACAGUAUAUCAGUGGUUUAUGUGUAUUUGGUAAGUUCCUGGAAGAACAUAGUACUUUUAUAUUAGAAAUGUAAGAAUGGCAUUAUUGUCUUUUACCAAGUUCUCUCGAAUCCCUUUGUUAUUAUUACUGUUAUUACUGGUGUAUGAUUAUGGUCAGAAGGCUUCUCCCCCUCGACUUUCCCUCUCAAAGAAUGUCUAGACAAUUAACAGCUUAAAUUCCUGACACCUUUUUUGGUGCUGUAUGUUCUUGCUCAUGGUGUGCUGAUACUGUGGAUUCAUUCUAUUUGGUGGGUCCUGCCGCAUCAGGGUCGGUCGCCUGCACUGGCUUGUGGGUGUGACUGAUCGCAGCCCUUAGCCGUUGAAACCUUCCCUGCAAAGCUGUUUGAACUAAAAUAGAACCACAAAAGUGGUUCGUUUAGCAGCAAAACGUCAGCCUCUCACUUUGUUUUGGAUGAUCCCUGGCAGUUUGAAAGCUGGCUGGGAGAAAGAUGGUUUGUGAAACCAGUCUUGUAGAGGUUGAAAAUCUUACCCAAGAUUUGGGUAGAAAGCUUAAAUACAUAGACUGGCAAUCAGACACCAGGUGUGUGUGACCCCUCUCAUAGCUGCUCUUGAUGAAAAAGCGGUUAUUUAGUUUCAAGGCCCCGCUGUACGUGGUUUGUGUGACGCCUGUUUUCGCUUCCGGAAGGCCUGCCUUGUGCGGGUGUACGGUGCCCUUGUGCGCCAUGUACACCCAGCAGCCUGCUUCUCUGCAGUGUGCCCUCACCCUGGGUGGUCGGGGUGAGCUGCUCCAUGCAGUGAGUACCUAGGUCUUAGAUGUCCCUUCUGUGGUUCAAACAAGUGUCGUGCUACAGAUCUGUUGUCUGUUCUGCUGGUGGCUCUUGUAAGAGUUCCUGCAUGUGAAUCUCAAGGCUGAGCGCAGCUCCCCAAGUCCAAGUGGACACGAAUGGCCCAGAGAGUGAGUUGUCCAGUGUGAGCUGCAGGAACAGGACACAGUGACUAUAGGCUGAAAAAUGAAGUCCUUUGGUGGGAUCCUGAGGGUUGGGUCAGUUGAAACAUUUUUUGCAUUACUUAAUGACUUGCAUUGUGGUUUUUCUGCAAGUACCUUUAGUAACUUUUAAUAUACCACAUGAUCUGCCACUCUCUAGAUAAAUGUGACAUGUGAUUUGUUAUCAUUAUUAUUUUAAUCAUUGUUCCAUUUAUUGCCUUUAGGGUUGAAGGAAGGGGAAGGGGUUUUAUGUUGAUGUUUUCCCUUUUUUUUUUUUUUUCCCAUUCUUUUUCUUUUGGUGGCUUAAACCACACUUCCUGAUGCCAUGACUAACUGCUUCCCAGCUGAGUAUUUCAGGCUUCAUUUAGGCUCAUGUUUCAGAUCUGCAUGCAUUGCUUGCAUUUUCCUGGUAUCGGAAUGUUGGUUCCUUGUUCUAGGAAUACAACAUUAAUUUCCAAAAUUAUCAUGGGACUUGUGACAACACAAGACAUGAAUCUCUGUAUAAAAUGUAUUGGCCUUUCUCAUUGACCUGCUAUAGUAUUAUUGUGUCGUGUGUGUGCGUGUGUGAUGUCUGGCUGCCACGUAAAGCUUCAAAGGAAGACCUUAAAAGCAGACCAUCCUUUUUUGCAUGCUCUAUUCUAAGUAGAAUGUUCAAUGUAACUAACUAAAAUUGCAUGUUAAAUAUAUUUAGGUUUUUUGGUUUCUAUCUUUGUUUUUAUUUGUUUUCAGUUUCUGUAUAUUUGCUUAACUGUGCUGUUUUAGUGGUUGUAGGAUAUAAAUGCACUGGUGAAGCAAAUGUAGUGCCAACAGAAGGUGAUUUUCCUGUUGUGUAUGUCUUGCAGCAUUUGAAGGGACUGUGCAUUCUUAAAACAAUCACAGUUGCUUCUAAACCAGAUUUCAUUUCUAUUAUUGUUUUACGUGCCAAACCCCGAAGUGCAUUGGGCUUGAAUCUCUGAACGCCGUGGACCCAUUAGAAGACUGUUUUGAUUGUCACAAAUUGUAGUGCCUGAAAACAUUAUUAAGCUGAUUGUCUUAAAAAAAAAGUUCUCCAAAGACAAAACAGGAAUAAUUAUUAUAACAGAAAACAAUUAUGGUUGAAAUGUCUGUGGUUCCUUGGAAAUGCUGCGCUUUUUGUAUUUUCCAUCAUUAGUGCAGUUGAACGAAUGUGUAUAGUUCAGAGGUCUUCGUGUUCGCAUUUUAAAAUUAGGUAAAUGACCUCAUCUUUCAAGCUUGAAUUCAUUUUUAAUUUUAAUUUUAUUUUAUACAAUGUGUAGACAGUUCCCUGUUCUCUGCAUUUAGAAGUAUAAACAAUAUAAAGCUGUUAAUUCUGUAAGUAAUUUUUAUAAUUAUGAUGUAACUCUAUCCUAUCCUUAAAACAUUUAAAAUAAACCCUUUAUGUGC